GACGAACGCUGGCGGCGUGCUUAACACAUGCAAGUCGAACGGAAAGGCCUCUUUCGGGGGGUACUCGAGUGGCGAACGGGUGAGUAACACGUGAGUAACCUGCCCUUGACUUUGGGAUAACUUCAGGAAAAUGGGGCUAAUACCGGAUAGGAGCUCCUGCUGCAUGGUGGGGGUUGGAAAGUUUCGGCGGUUGGGGAUGGACUCGCGGCUUAUCAGCUUGUUGGUGGGGUAGUGGCUUACCAAGGCUUUGACGGGUAGCCGGCCUGAGAGGGUGACCGGCCACAUUGGGACUGAGAUACGGCCCAGACUCCUACGGGAGGCAGCAGUGGGGAAUAUUGCACAAUGGGUGGAAGCCUGAUGCAGCAACGCCGUGUGCGGGAUGACGGCCUUCGGGUUGUAAACCGCUUUCGCUCAUGACGAAGCUUUGUGUGACGGUAGUGGGUAAAGAAGCACCGGCUAACUACGUG
rnacentral:rRNA from 1 species